AGAAUUUGAUUGUAACAAUUGGCUUUGUGUUUUUAGUAUUUUUUGUAUUAACAUAAUUAAUAUUUUCAUUUUUGUUGUUGAGUUAAUAAUAUCAUCUUCGUUUAGAUUCCAGUUCCAGUUUUGAUUGAUUCCAAGAAUUUGUUCAACAUGAUCUCGAUUGGUUAUGAUGUGUAAUAAUAAAUUGACUCUUGUGUUACAACAAUUUCUUAUUGUUAUUUUGUUAACAUUGUUGUACCAUUUGUAUGGUGUCCAUGGUGAAUAAUAGUACAGUUUCAUCUAAUACCAUUUCCAUUUCCGAUCUGGUUAACCAUGGGAUUUGUAUUUUUCGUGAUUCCUCUGGUAUUUUAGAUGUUUCCCAUUUUUUAAUACAAAAUUUUAUUCCUUGGGCCUCUUUAAUAAUAAUAUGGAUCAUGUCUUUUGCUGUAUUGGAAUCUCCUUUGAUUAGUGACCUCGCUAAAUCCUGGUCCAUGGGAAGAUGAUCAGCCCCAACUUGUUUUGCCAUCUUGACCAAUAGUUUGGCUUCUGGUAUUAAUUGUAUUUGUAUUUUUGGUAUUUGACAAUCACAUGGUUGAUAAGUUAAUGUUUUAUUAACUUGGGUCCUCCAAUCCUCCAUUACUUCAGUAACCACUUCAACUGGAUCUCUAUUGGUAAUUUGGAUUUGAUUAUCGUUUUCAUCGCCCAUUUAUUAGUGUUUUGAAUACCUAAUAAUUUGGAGAAAUUAUCAUGAUAUUGUUUUUGGAAGUUCAAUCCAUAUUUUUUCCAGUUUUCUUGUAAUAACCAGUCGAAUCCAAUGUUAACCAUUUUAGAUACUAUUAUUGAGUUUACUAUUAGUUUUUUCAAAUCUGGUUUCAAGUAUCUGAUUUUUUCCAUAGAGAAUUUGAAGGUUUCCAUAAUUUGACAUGAUUUUUGAUCUAUCAUUUGGUUCAUCGCUUUGAUAGUAUUGUGGGUGGUAAUUUGGAAACCUAAAAUUUUUUGUUGUGUUUUUUGAUGGAAAUUUACAAUUGUUGUUUUAUCGACGUUGAUUUUCAGGUUGAUCUUACUAAAUUCCUCUGUUAUUAUUGGUAUAAUUGUUUGUGCUUGUUCAGGUUCUUGAUGAUUUGAUCAGUUGCUAAGAUGAAUAGUAGGCCUGAGAUUGCCGAACCUUGUGGGACACCAAUUGAUUCUUUUCUCCACCAUAUCUUCUUGUUAUUAUUGAAUCUUAACCAUCUCGUUGAGCAAAAUGAUGUUAAUAAUUCACCCAGUUGUCGGUCAUGUGUUGUUAUUAAUCGAAGAGCUUGGGUUAUAUCAACCUCAUCAAACGCUUUGGAUAGAUCUAACAUUAGCAGAAUUUUUUCCAAGAAGUUUUGGUGAAGUCAUCGGCGUCUAACGUUGAUUUUCUUGAUAUUUGCUUUAAUUUUUGUAUCUCGUAUUGGGUUAAUGGUUGAUAUUUAAAUUCAGCUUCAUCAUCGCUGUGUAUUGGUUUAUUAGUUGUAAAGAUUCGUGAUUGGAUAUCGUUGUUUUCCCGGUGAUUUCUAGAACUUUUCCUUUGGUCAUUUACUGUUGAUUUGGAGAAUUCUGUUCUUUUUCUUCUUAACGAAGAGAAAAAAAGAAAAAAAUUGUUUCGAAUUUGGUUAUUUGAUAUUCAAUUCGAAAGGACGAAAAGACAAAACAUCAACAGAGAAGCGAAAAUAAUUGAAGGCGAACUUUUUUAUUAUGAAUUGAGACAAAAUUCACCAAGACGAUGAUCCCUUCCAGUUAAUAAACUCAACAAAAUUAUCGUAAUUGUUGUAAUUAACACAACUAGACGACGAGAAAUGAUAAACAUCAUGAUUCUCAUUAAGAAAAAGGGUAAAAAUUAAUAAGCCUGUUAAUUGUUGGGAAAGAGACGAAGAAAAGAUUAAGAUAAUCAAACAAGAAAACAAAAUUAUAAAGAGGUGAUUAAAAUAAUUGACAUUCUGUCAGGAAACAGAAAAAUUGUCUAAACAAUUUAGACAAUAACAGCAAUUAGUUUCUGUUAUAAUUUAUGGUCAACAAUCAAAAAUUAACCCACAAAAAAGUUAAAGAGUAACAAUUAUCUCGCCCCAGCGACCACGAAAAUGUUUUCAUCAACAACAAUUUACCAACAAUUUAAAAUUAAUCUACAAUACAUAUCAUAUCAUCGUCCAUUUAAAAUUAUGUAUACAAAUGUUAACAACAAUUUAAAAAUUUUCUGUUCUUUUUUUUUAUCAAAUUCAAUUCUUAUGUAACUUUUAAUUGUAAUUAUAUUUACGCAUCUUGAUUGUUAAUAUAUAUUAACAACAGAUUAAUUAAUUGUUUCAACUAAACAAACUCAAUUGAAUGUUGUAAAAUGCUAAAUACUGUCUAGAGAAUAUGUAAAUUGUUAUAGUUAAUUGUUGGAUUGCCAAAAUCCAUCCACUAAUUGUGUUCAACCAACAAUCAACCUGAAUUUAUUAUAAGAAACUCAAAUUGUCACCAUAACCAUUGUUAUCAUUGUCACAGUUGAGAAUUGAAAAACCAAAGGCAUCCUCAUCAUCCUCAUCAUCUUCAUCAUCAUCGUAAUCACAUUUUGUCAUCUAAAUUGUUCAUUUAACUUGAUUGUCAACUAACAAACUCAAGUCUAUCUUUGAAAAUACGAUAUAUUCAAAUCUAGAUAAAGUAAACUGGAUUAAGCUGAUUAA